AGUGGGAUAGCUGAGUCAAAUGGUGGUUCCAUUCCAAGUUUUCUGAGGAAUCUUCACACUGCUUUCCAGAGUGGUUGCACCAAUUUUCAGUCCUAUCAGCAAU
rnacentral:pre_miRNA from 1 species